rnacentral:lncRNA from 1 species
ACCGCUGCUGCCCGACAUCAAAGGCGGCCAGCCUGGUUUCUCCAUCUGCAGUCUGAACAAUAUUUCUCUUUGAUCUUGGACAAGAAGAACCAGCAUGGGGGAUGCAGGGGAGGAGAGCAGGUACCUGCGUCGAUGUGUAACAACAUGCAGCCCCCUGAUGUUGCCUGGUUGAAAUGCCAAGCGGGGUCAGAAAAACACCAUUGAAACAAGCAGCUGAAAUCUAGAAAAAGAGUCACGAUGGAAUGGUUUCAUUCAGUCACUCCAUCAUCAAGUCUUUUUGGAGAGGCAGCCGAGUGCCCAUUCUUGUGCAUUCUGGAGGGAAAGGGAAGGGAACGGAGCGAGAGGGCCACAUGUGACGGAGUCGGAGACCUGGCUUCAAGUUUGCCUGUGGGAUCUUGACACUUAACUCUCUGCAUCUUAUUUUUCUCUUCUAGUCCUAUCAGGCCCCUAUUUCCUUUUGUUCACCACUAGCCUCCUGUCCUGUGGGGUUUAAAUUUAGUCUUCAGAAUGUGGGCUCUAACUCCUCCCUUUCUCUUGCCCUUAACCAAAACUGCAACCUCCCUGGGGUGGGCAUCCAGUCCCACCUUCAGCCCUCGGGCCCCCAUUCCUACCUCUGAACCCUCAGGCUGGCCCCUCAAUCAGGUCGCCCACCACUCAUGUAGAGUCAGACAAGUACAGAGCAUGGAGCUGGGCACCAUGAGGGCUACACAGAUGAAUCUAACACAGCGGCCCAGCAUCAGGAGGGCACACAGACUGGCAAGGAGGCAGUUUCUCCGGCAGAGGAGGCAUAGAGAAAGGUACGUGAACGGCGGCCGAGGAAGCUUUCCUGGAGGAGGCGACACUUGAGCCAUAUUCUAAAGGAUGAAUAGGGGUUUCCAAUAAGAGACUUGAAUAGUUUAGGUGAAUAAGUAGAUUCAGUAGGUUCAUCCAGCCCUGCCCCCUUGAAGGUUCUCCUCCUGAGCGCCGCACACUCCGCCUGACCCUCCACGGCCACCGUCUACAGAGCUUCCUGGCUGUCUUAGCAACUCCGGGCUCACAGCACAGAUUUCCAGCGGUAGGACAGUUCCCGAGUUGGUUAAUUAGGAGAUUCAGUGGUCCUUUCAAGGCAAGUUCUUUCCAUCCCCAGACGGUUGGCUUGUCUCCUUCAGCUGAGCCCCUCCGAGAUCCAAGAUGGCCACCACAACGCCUGCAACGCCACAACCAGGCAGUCUUGCAUCACGUGUCCUUAAUCAAAACCCUGUUUGGUUUCUUCUAAUCCAACAACCACUCUGCAGCCAGAGUGAAAUUUGCAGAAUAUAAAUGCAACAGAAUGACACGAUGAUGAAGAACAAGUGGCUGGCCAUCUGGACCGGAAUUCAAACUCCAGCACGGCCAUCGCUGCCUGAAAGGCUUCAUUAAAAUCACCCAGGCUUUAAGUCUGGGUUUCUAAACUAAGGUUAAAAGUAGCAUCCUCGGGGCCGGCCCCGUGGUGUAGCGGUUAAGCGCGUACAUUCUGCAUCAGUGGCCCGGAGUUCACUGGUUCGAUCCUAGGUGUGGACAUGGCACCGCUUAUCAAGCCAGGCUGUGGCAAGCAUCCCACAUAUACAGUAGAGGAAGAUGAGCACGGAUGUUAG